GCGCAUCUGUGCAUGCAGCAUAUCAAUAAGCGGAGGAAAAGAAACUAACAAGGAUUCCCUUAGUAACGGCGAGUGAAGCGGGAAGAGCUCAAAUUUGAAAUCUUCAAGGUUUUACCUUGACGAAUUGUAGUUUAAAGAAGUGUUUUCUGUUGAAGUUUUGGUAAAAGUUCUUUGGAAUAGGACAUCAUAGAGGGUGAGAAUCCCGUAUUUGACCAUUAUUUUCAGCUGUGUGAUACACUUUCAAAGAGUCGGAUUGUUUGGGAAUGCAGUCCAAAAUGGGUGGUAAAUUUCAUCUAAAGCUAAAUAUUGGCGAGAGACCGAUAGCGAACAAGUACCGUGAGGGAAAGAUGAAAAGAACUUUGAAAAGAGAGUUAAACAGUACGUGAAAUUGUCAAAAGGGAAGCGUUUGACACCAGUGUUGUUUUCUCGAAAAUCAAUUAAAAAGAGUUUAGAUUUUGUUGUGUAUUGACCUUAACAGCUUGCAUCUCAAUUUUCUUGCUUUUUUUAAUGCACUUUUCGUUUAACAAGUCAACAUCAGUUUCUUUUGUUGUAAAAAGGUCAUUGGAAGGUGGCUUUCUUUUCGGAGAAAGUGUUUAUAGCCUUUGACUCCUGCAAUCGGAGAGACUGAGGUCUGCAGCGUAGAUCCUUCGGGGUUAGAUACAUUUGUGCUAAGUUAUAGCUUUUUAUAGACAACUUGUUGACUAUGAUUAGUCUUGUAGCUUACUCGCUUAUGCUAUUUUACCUACGCUUAGGAUGUUGAACUCUAUCACACACAG
rnacentral:rRNA from 1 species